UCAAGUUAUUAAGGGUGCAGGGCGAAUGCCUUGGCACUAGGAGCCGAUGAAGGACGUGAUAAGCUGCGAUAAGCUUCGGGGAGUUGCACGUAAACUUUGAUCCGAAGAUUUCCGAAUGAGGAAACUCACUUAGAGUAAUGUCUAAGUAUCGUAUGAUGAAUACAUAGUCAUGCGAGGGGAACCCGGAGAACUGAAACAUCUAAGUACCCGGAGGAAGAGAAAGAAAUUCGAUUCCGUAAGUAGCGGCGAGCGAACGCGGAACAGGCCAAACCAGUGAAGUUUUCUUCGCUGGGGUUGCGGACAUAUCAUAACGAAGAGGUAUCGUAGAAGAAGAGAGUUGGAAAGCUCCGCCACAGAUGGUAACAGCCCAGUAUUUUAAACGAGAAAACUUUAGAUAUGAUCCAGAGUACCACGGGACACGUGAAACCCUGUGGGAAGCAGGAGGGACCAUCCUCCAAGCCUAAAUACUACCUAGUGACCGAUAGCGUAUAGUACCGUGAGGGAAAGGUGAAAAGAACCCCGGGAGGGGAGUGAAAGAGAACCUGAAACCCUGCACUUACAAGCUGUAGGAGCACAUUAUUUGUGUGACUGCGUACUUUUUGUAGAACGGGCCAACGAGUUACGUUGUGUAGCAAGGUUAAGCACUUAAGGUGUGGAGCCGUAGCGAAAGCGAGUCUUAAAUGGGCGUCCAGUUACCCGACGUAGACCCGAAACCAGGCGACCUAUCCAUGAGCAGGUUGAAGCGAAAGUAAAAUUUCGUGGAGGACCGAACCCACGUACGUUGAAAAGUGCGGGGAUGACUUGUGGAUAGCGGUGAAAUUCCAAUCGAGCCUGGAGAUAGCUGGUUCUCCCCGAAAUAGCUUUAGGGCUAGCCUCAAGCUUAGAGAAACGGAGGUAGAGCACUGAAUGUCCUAGGGGGUAUUGCACUUACCGAAGACUAUCAAACUCCGAAUGCCGUAUUCUUUUGCUUGGGAGUCAGACUAUGGGUGAUAAGAUUCAUAGUCAAGAGGGCAACAGCCCAGAUCGUCAGCUAAGGUCCCUAAAUGUAAGUUAAGUGGUAAAGGAUGUGGAAUUGCACAGACAACCAGGAUGUUGGCUUAGAAGCAGCCACUCAUUUAAAGAGUGCGUAAUAGCUCACUGGUCGAGUGAUUCUGCGCCGAAAAUUUCCGGGGCUAAAACUUACUACCGAAGCUACGGCAUCAUUAUGAUGGGUAGGGGAGCUUUCUAUGCGGCUUGAAGCAUGACCGUAAGGACAUGUGGACUGCAUAGAAGUGAGAAUGUUGGCAUGAGUAGCGAGAUGUGGGUGAGAAUCCCACAGGCCGUAAACCCAAGGUUUCCAGGGGAAGGUUCGUCCGCCCUGGGUUAGUCAGGACCUAAGCCGAGGCCGAAAGGCGUAGGUGAUGGACAACAGGUUGAUAUUCCUGUACCACCAAUAACCGUUUGAGAAAUGGGAUGACACAGUAGGAUAAGCUAACCGCACUGUUGGUUAUGUGCGGGCAAGUAUUGAGGCAGUUCCGAUAGGCAAAUCCGUCGGAAUAAUGCUGGGGUACGAUGCGGAGCGAAAUUUAGUAGCGAAGUAGCUGAUUUCACACUGUCGAGAAAAGUCUCUAUCGAGGUUAAAGGUGCCUGUACCGCAAACCGACACAGGUGGGUGAGGAGAGUAUCCUAAGGCCAGCGAGAGAACUGUUGUUAAGGAACUCGGCAAAAUGACCCCGUAACUUAGGGAGAAGGGGUGCCUUCGAAAGAAGGCCGCAGAGAAUAGGCCCAAGCGACUGUUUACCAAAAACAUAGGUUUCUGCUAAGUCGCAAGACGAUGUAUAGGAGCUGACGCCUGCCCGGUGCUGGAAGGUUAAGGGGAUCUGUUAGAGCAAUCGAAGCAGUGAACUUAAGCCCCAGUAAACGGCGGCCGUAACUAUAACGGUCCUAAGGUAGCGAAAUUCCUUGUCGGGUAAGUUCC
rnacentral:rRNA from 1 species